CUACGGGCUGCUGCAGUGGGGAAUAUUGGACAAUGGGCGAAAGCCUGAUCCAGCAAUGCCGCGUGAGUGAUGAAGGCCCUAGGGUUGUAAAGCUCUUUUACCCGGGAAGAUAAUGACUGUACCGGGAGAAUAAGCCCCGGCUAACUCCGUGCCAGCAGCCGCGGUAAUACGGAGGGGGCUAGCGUUGUUCGGAAUUACUGGGCGUAAAGCGCACGUAGGCGGCUUUGUAAGUUAGAGGUGAAAGCCCGGGGCUCAACCCCGGAAUUGCCUUUAAGACUGCAUCGCUUGAACACGGGAGAGGUGAGUGGAAUUCCGAGUGUAGAGGUGAAAUUCGUAGAUAUUCGGAAGAACACCAGUGGCGAAGGCGGCUCACUGGACCGUUGUUGACGCUGAGGUGCGAAAGCGUGGGGAGCAAACAGGAUUAGAUACCCCCGUAGUC
rnacentral:rRNA from 1 species